AAGCGAUAACUGACGAUAAUUACUCCUGGCUGACUGUGGUCAAAAGUUGCAAAUUGGCAGAGGAAACCAGCCUGGAGCACUGGCCUUGGAGCAGGUUUGGGGAGCAGUGCUAGAGUGCAGUUUUAGAGCUGGCAGCAGCAGCAGCCCAGGAGGAGGCUAAUGACCCGAAGCUGCCAUUCAUUCAGUUUGAGAACCUAAAUGACUUCAAUAUUUGGUACAGAAGAAACAAGUUGGGCAUGGUGGCACACGAUGUAAUCUCAGCAAAAGUUGAAAUCCCAGAAGAAGCAAGCUUACCUCCAGC
rnacentral:lncRNA from 1 species